rnacentral:rRNA from 1 species
GACAGAGGGUGCAAACGUUGUUCGGAAUUACUGGGCGUAAAGCGCGUGUAGGCUGUUUUGCAAGUCGGAUGUGAAAGCCCUGGGCUCAACCUAGGAAGUGCACUCGAAACUGCAGAACUGGCGUCCUGGAGAGGAAGGCGGAAUUCUCGGUGUAGAGGUGAAAUUCGUAGAUAUCGAGAGGAACACCGGUGGCGAAGGCGGCCUUCUGGACAGUGACUGACGCUGGAGACGCGAAAGCGUGGGGAGCAAACAGG